UGCCCAAAGUUCUCCCUUUCACUCUGUGAAGACACAAUGAGAAGAUGGCCAUCUGUGAACCAGGAGAAAAUUCCUUAUCAGACACCAAAUCUGCCAACAACUUGAUCUUGGACUUCCAGAACUGUGAAACAGUUGUUUAUAAGCCACCUAGUCUGUGGUAUUGCAUUAGAGAAGCUGAAUGGACUGAGAUAGCUCCCCUUAAAUGGAACAAAUUAUUGUUCCAAGUUCCACAAAAUCCCUCGGAAACAUUCUAAAACACAUCACCUUUUCCAAUGGUGAAUCAUUUUUGAACUUCACAGCACAUUUUCUCUUUGAUUGAAAACAUGGAUUUUUGAAAAAAGCUUAAUUAAAGGCACCCCAUGAAAACUUCUAUAAAGGUUCUUCAACAGAGGUGAAGUGCAAGCCAGUAUUUAGUGCCCAAGCAAAUUACCUGAAAAUGAGAGGCUGGAGCUGACCCAAGUCAGACCUCAUCAGCAUUCAGUAAUACAGGUACAAGGUGAAUAAAAGAAGAGGCAAGACAUGUGGAAAAGGGUUCGAUCAAAGAAGAGCAGUGAAGCAGAAAAUAAGGACAUUGCCAGGUUGCUUGGCCCCGAUUUCAUGUACCUUACAAGCUGUUUAUUACAACAAUGUGAAGUCUCCUGAUCUACCUAAGUGUGCCUUUUCUUACACUAUGGUUCUUCUAUCUGGGGGAAACCUGGCUGUGUUGUACAUCAGCCUUGGUUUUAGAGAAAGAAAAUGAAAUUAUGCAUUAGUUUGAAGGAGAGAAUGCUCCCAGCUCCCUGAUGUGAAAAAAAAUGGAGUAAGGCAGGAAGCAAGAGCAAGUUCUGCUUUGCACUCUGCUUUUGUCCUUGACAACUGCUCUCAAAAGCUCAGACCAUGAACUGCCCUCCUAGAUUUGUUUGAACUUUUUCUUUUUUUUUUUUUUUUGUUUGAACUUUUUCUAAUGCACUUUAGUGCAUUUUUAUUUCUCCUCCCAGGUAGUUUUCUUAAAAUCUUUACU